AUUGAACGCUGGCGGCAUGCCUUACACAUGCAAGUCGAACGGCAGCACGGGUGCUUGCACCUGGUGGCGAGUGGCGAACGGGUGAGUAAUACAUCGGAACAUGUCCUGUAGUGGGGGAUAGCCCGGCGAAAGCCGGAUUAAUACCGCAUACGAUCUACGGAUGAAAGCGGGGGACCUUCGGGCCUCGCGCUAUAGGGUUGGCCGAUGGCUGAUUAGCUAGUUGGUGGGGUAAAGGCCUACCAAGGCGACGAUCAGUAGCUGGUCUGAGAGGACGACCAGCCACACUGGGACUGAGACACGGCCCAGACUCCUACGGUAGGCAGCAGUGGGGAAUUUUGGACAAUGGGCGAAAGCCUGAUCCAGCAAUGCCGCGUGUGUGAAGAAGGCCUUCGGGUUGUAAAGCACUUUUGUCCGGAAAGAAAUCCUUGGCCCUAAUACGGUCGGGGGAUGACGGUACCGGAAGAAUAAGCACCGGCUAACUACGUG
rnacentral:rRNA from 1 species